rnacentral:lncRNA from 13 species
CCUCUUUUCAGGCAUAUGGUAGCAUUUCAUCUCUCUGUGUCUUUGAAUAUACUCAUACCCUUAUUGGCCUGGUGACUUGGACAAAGCCUAUGAAUAUGAGCAGAAAUAUUAAGGAAUCUUCAUACUGUCUUCCAAAGUAACUGCAUCAUUUUGCAUCCUCACCAAUAGUGUACAAGAAUUCCAGUCUCUUCCCAUCCUUGUCAACACAGCAAUCCUAAGAGAGACUGAAUGAAAAGAAGACGAUGGCAGAGAUUGGGAGUGAAGAUGACAAAUUCAGUUUUGCACCUGAGGUGUGCCGACAUGAAUAUGUGCAAUAAAUGCUCCCAUUCCAUCUGCCAAUGCACAGAUGGGCUGGUCUGUGCAUACAGGCUUUUCUUUAUAUGCUAGAUGUAAUAGCAACAAUGAUGAACUUGACGUGUCUGUCAGGAGCCUAGCAUGUAGCCCAGUUCUUCCUCACAUCCUUCUUGGGCAGCAGGUAAGUGGCAUUAUCUAAUCACAGUUUCUAUUUAUGUCCCCCCACUUCAAAUCACUUCUCUAGCUCAGGCUGGUUCUUUCCCUCCACUAAUAACUAGAUUUCAGCUUUCCCUUAAGAUUGUGAUUCAUCAGCUGCUGGCACAGCUC